AUUGAUAUGACCGAGGUUAGGUAGUAAAUUGUAAAUUUAUAGACGAAUUGUAUUCUUUCAAU
rnacentral:tRNA from 1 species